rnacentral:rRNA from 2 species
AAUCCAUAGGUUAAUGAGGCGAACCGGGGGAACUGAAACAUCUAAGUACCCCGAGGAAAAGAAAUCAACCGAGAUUCCCCCAGUAGCGGCGAGCGAACGGGGAGGAGCCCAGAGCCUGAAUCAGCAUGUGUGUUAGUGGAAGCGUCUGGAAAGGCGCGCGAUACAGGGUGACAGCCCCGUACACAAAAGCGCAUGUGCUGUGAGCUCGAUGAGUAGGGCGGGACACGUGGUAUCCUGUCUGAAUAUGGGGGGACCAUCCUCCAAGGCUAAAUACUCCUGACUGACCGAUAGUGAACCAGUACCGUGAGGGAAAGGCGAAAAGAACCCCGGCGAGGGGAGUGAAAAAGAACCUGAAACCGUGUACGUACAAGCAGUGGGAGCACAGGUUUACCUGUGUGACUGCGUACCUUUUGUAUAAUGGGUCAGCGACUUAUAUUCUGUAGCAAGGUUAACCGAAUAGGGGAGCCGGAGGGAAACCGAGUCUUAAUUGGGCGUUAAGUUGCAGGGUAUAGACCCGAAACCCGGUGAUCUAGCCAUGGGCAGGUUGAAGGUUGGGUAACACUAACUGGAGGACCGAACCGACUAAUGUUGAAAAAUUAGCGGAUGACCUGUGGCUGGGGGUGAAAGGCCAAUCAAACCGGGAGAUAGCUGGUUCUCCCCGAAAGCUAUUUAGGUAGCGCCUCGUGAAUUCAUCUCCGGGGGUAGAGCACUGUUUCGGCUAGGGGGCCAUCCCGGCUUACCAACCCGAUGCAAACUGCGAAUACCGGAGAAUGUUAUCACGGGAGACACACGGCGGGUGCUAACGUCCGUCGUGAAGAGGGAAACAACCCAGACCGCCAGCUAAGGUCCCAAAGUCAUGGUUAAGUGGGAAACGAUGUGGGAAGGCCCAGACAGCCAGGAUGUUGGCUUAGAAGCAGCCAUCAUUUAAAGAAAGCGUAAUAGCUCACUGGUCGAGUCGGCCUGCGCGGAAGAUGUAACGGGGCUAAACCAUGCACCGAAGCUGCGGCAGCGACGCUUAUGCGUUGUUGGGUAGGGGAGCGUUCUGUAAGCCUGUGAAGGUGUGUCGUGAGGC